rnacentral:lncRNA from 1 species
AGUGGAGUUUUUAGCCUUUUAACAUUCAAGGAUUAGGUAAAAGUCUUGCAGUGAAAAACCCGAGGACCCUUACCGCAAGUGUCUUUUGCUCCCAGCUACUGAUACUGGAUUCCACUCGUGAUUCUCCCUUUCUUAGCGCAUUCAUGAUAUAGACAUCAGUCUCUGAGCUGGAGGAGGACAAAGGCAGCGGUCCUGUGAAUUCUAUGCUCUAGCUUGGGUUAAGGGAUUUGGAAUUGCACUUGUUUCAGAGAGCUCCCUCUUUGCCCACUAGCAGGGCAUUAGCUGGUGCUGAAGACAGUGGCUGCUUGGCGAGCCUGGAUCUCCAAGUGACCCCCUCAGCAACUCCUGAUGAACAGGACUGAAGCCAAUAUUAAAGCAAGUCAACCAAAGGUUCUCUGGUGUAGACAAGACAGCAAAAGGACAGACUACCUUGUGGAACCUAGCAUUGUUCUCCUUCUGCAGCACUAAGUACUGUGUGCAGAAAUGUGAUUGAGAUUCAAGUCAGGGCCUCUCUGCCCUUUUCCCUCCAGAAACAAAACCAAGAUAAUUUAUCCUGAACACGGUGAAAAAAGGAAGGGAGGGAGGAGAAAAAGUCCGGGUCUCACCUGGGAUUCUCUGUCUCCUGCAACAUGAAGGAUUUAGCCUGGGAGGAGGUGGUGAGAACUCUGGGAGAGAAAAAAGAAGGAAAGAAUAGUUUUACCCAUGCUGAAGUUAAUUUAAACCUUCACCUAGAGAAGCAAAAAAAAAAAACCCACACUUUCCCAUUUUGUGCCUCCCUUCCUAGAGUUUUAGCCAAAGGUUUAGCUAAGUAAUUGGUUUUACCAGCGCACUCACUCCUCCUAUCCCAAGUCUGUUUGACUCCCUCCCCAUCAUCCUCCUCACCUCUUUUCAGGCAGGGUGGGGAUAGCAGCAGGAGGAGAUUUUGGGAGCCUGGCAACUCCUGCAAGGACCGCAGGACAGCCCCUCUGUGGGGAUGCGUGGUGCCCCAUCUGCCGCCCUUCUGAAGAAUGCACUGCCUUCACUUUUUACUGUGUUAGAGUCCAUCCAGACUGUUCUAUCCAAAAAAGUUUCUUUUUCCCCCACAGGCAAUCAGGAAAUGAUUCCUUUCCCGACUGCUUCUGUCUAGUGCCUGGGAAUCUUGAGUCAAUCCCUCAGUAAGUCAGUGACUAGGGAAAUCCCUCUCUGAGCCUCCCAGUUCAUGUUGCUUAGGGAACCUGAUAUUUUCGUGAAACCUGCCUACACAUGGGCAGCCCAACAGCAGAACAAAUGGUGGUGACCAAAGUGAACAAAGAAGUAUAGUUGUGCCAGCUUCGUAGUUGCCCAUGUGGACAAGUCAGCAGGAUCAGGACACGAGGAAGAGUAAAUGUGAGACAGUCAAUGUGACUUCUGCGAUAAACAGAUUUUUAAACCCCGAAAUUUUGCAAAAUUUUGGUGAAACCUGAACUUUCUUCGUUGCAUAUACUGGCACUAUCUGUACCAUCAUACAACUGUCUCACAUUAAAGCUAUUUUUCUUGGGC